AAGUUACAAAGGGCGAAUGGAGGAUGCCUUGGCUUCUCGAAGCGAAGAAGGACGCGGAAAGCUGCGAAAAUCGGCGGGGAUUGGCAAACACGAGUUGAUCCGUCGGUGUCCGAAUGGGGCAACCCACCAAGUUGAAGACUUGGUACACAUUUAAGUGAGCAAACGCCGGGAACUGAAACAUCUCAGUACCGGCAGGAAAAGAAAGAAAUAUCGAUUCCCAGAGUAGUGGCGAGCGAAAUGGGAAGAGCCUAAACCGAUGUUGUUGCGGCAAUAUCGGGGUUGAAGGAGUAUCAACAAUUGCAUAAGUUAGAAGAGGAAUUAUCUGGAAAGAUAAGGCGCAGAGGGUGACACCCCCGUACUUGUAAGAUACUUAUGCGAGAGAUACCACCUGAGUAGGUCGGGACACGAGGAAUCCUGAUUGAAUCUGCGGGGACCAUCCCGUAAGGCUAAAUAUGACGAGAAGACCGAUAGUGAACCAGUACUGUGAAGGAAAGGUGAAAAGCACUCCGAACAGGAGGGUGAAAGAGACCCUGAAACCGUUCGCCUACAAGCGGUCGGAGUCCCUUAGGGGAUGACGGCGUGCCUUUUGGAUAAUGAGCCUACGAGUUCCUGUAUGUAGCGAGGUUAAGACAUUCAGUGUUGAAGCCGAAGCGAGAGCGAGUCUGAAUAGGGCGUUUAGUUACAUGUAGGAGACGCGAAACCUUGUGAUCUACCCCCGGCCAGGAUGAAGUUUCCGUAACAGGGGAUGGAGGUCCGAACUAGUAUCCGUUGAAAAGGAUUUGGAUGAGCUGGGGGUAGGGGUGAAAGGCUAAUCAAACUGGGAGAUAGCUCGUACUCCCCGAAAUGUCUUUAGGGACAGCCUCACAAGAGCUAUCAGGAGGUAGAGCUACUGAUAAGAUGCGAGGGCGUCAAUGCCUAUCAAAUUUUGACAAACUCCGAAUGCCUGAUAGUGAUUUGUGGGAGUGAGUUGCCGGGUGCUAAUGUCCGGUAGCAAAAGGGAAACAGCCCAGACCGACGGCUAAGGCCCCCAAGCGUGAGUUAAGUUGAUAAAACGAGGUGACAUCGCCUAGACAGCUAGGAUGUUAGCUUGGAAGCAGCUAAUCAUUUAAAGAGUGCGUAACAGCUCACUAGUCGAGCGACGUUGCAUGGAUAAUGAACGGGCAUCAAACUCACCGCCGAAGCCACGGACUCCUUAUAGGAGUGGUAGGGGAGCAUUCCAGUCGGCUGCGAAGGUGUAUUGCGAGAUACGCUGGAGCGUCUGGAAAAGAAGAUGUAGGCAUAAGUAACGAUAAUGCAUGAAGAAACAUGCACACCGAAAACCCAAGGGUUCCUGAUCAACGUUAAACGGAUCAGGGUAAGUCGGGACCUAAGUGUAAGCCGAAAGGUGAACAUGAAGGAUAGCCGGUUAAGAUUCCGGCACCUGCUAUGCAUAUCAAAGGAGUGACGGAGAAGUGACACAUCCGCCGGCUGACGGAAUAGCCGGUUAAAGGAGUUAGGUAAAUAGCGUAGUUAAAAGCUGGUUAUGCUGAGCUCCGACAGUACACCAAGCCUUCGGGCGCGGUGAUAGAGAUGGUAAUCAGACUCCCGAGAAAAGCUUCUGCGAUAUAGUGCAUAGGAGCCCGUACCGUAAACCGACACAGGUGGGUGAGGAGAGGAUCCUAAGGUGCUCGAGUGAGUCAUGGCUAAGGAAUUCGGCAAAAUUACCCCGUAACUUAGGGAGAAGGGGACCCCCGCGAGGGGGCGCAGAGAAAUGGUCCAGGCGACUGUUUAACAAAAACACAGGGCUUUGCGAAAUCGAAAGAUGAAGAAUAAGGCCUGAAACCUGCCCGGUGCCGGAAGGUUAAGAGGGGACGUGAGAUAAUAUCAACGCGUUGAAUUGAAGCCCCGGUAAACGGCGGCCGUAACUAUAACGGUCCUAAGGUAGCGAAAUUCCUUGUCGGGUAAGUUCCGACCUGCACGAAUGGUAUAACGAUCUGGACACUGUCUCGGCCAUGAGCUCGGUGAAAUUGUAGUAGCGGUGAAGAUGCCGCUUACCCGCAACGGGACGGAAAGACCCCGUGAACCUUUACUGCAGCUUAGCGUUGAUUUUGGAUAAUUGAUGUGUAGGAUAGGUGGGAGGCUUCGAUGCUGCGACGCCAGUCGUAGAGUAGCCGCCGUUGAAAUACCACCCUUUGGUUAUCUGGAGUCUAACUCUGCAAAGAGGACACCGCUUGGUGGGUAGUUUGACUGGGGUGGUCGCCUCCAAAAGAGUAACGGAGGCUUCCCAAGGUGCGCUCAGCACGAAUGGUAACCGUGCGCGGAGUGUAUUGGUACAAGCGCGCUUGACUGAGAGACCGACAAGUCGAUCAGGUAGGAAACUAGGGCAAAGUGAUCCGGUGGUUCCGCAUGGGUGGGCCAUCGCUCAAAGGAUAAAAGGUACUCCGGGGAUAACAGGCUGAUCGCUCCCAAGAGCUCAAAUCG
rnacentral:rRNA from 1 species